GAAUGAGCAGGAUGGACUUGCCAAUUUUGGCAAAAGAAAAAUUCUCAAGGGUAGGCUGCUGAAAGACUUGGAGGAGCCAGGCAUGUUGAGGCUUCUAACAUCUCUGAAAGCUCAAGCUUGGAAGGACAUGGUCCUUCAGUUGAAUGGGAAACGAGCUAGGAAGGAACUGGUUGAGUUCAUGGCAAAUGGGCCAGCGAAGAAUGGUGUGACGACAAGUUCUGUUAAGGGGUCAAGGUGAAAUUUAAUGCUGAGAAGUUGGGCGAGGUUUUGAAUAUCCCUUGUGAGGGAUAUGAUGAUUACACAAGGCAAAGAUGGCCUUGUUUGGAUGAGCUGGGGGAGAUUUUGAAUAUCCCUUGUGAAGGAUAUGAUGAUUACACAAGGUAAAUAUGGCCUUGUUUGGAUGGGUUACCUUCAGAGCUGCAGAUUACUAGAAAUAUUUGUGAUACCACAUCAGAGGCAGAAGUGCCUGAGGCCAAGGCAGUGCAAAAGAAUGAGAUGAGCCUUGAGCACAAGGUGCUCUUUGCGUUUGUCAACAAAUCCCUCCUACCCAGACAGGAAAUAAGGCAUACUGCUAAUUAUAUGGACCUUGUGCUCAUGUAGUGCUUGACUGAAUGUAAGGAAAUCAACUGGCUUGUGUUCAUGGUAAAGCUGCUGGAAAGGGUAAUCAAUGGUUCAAAGGC
rnacentral:lncRNA from 1 species